rnacentral:piRNA from 1 species
UGGAACUUGCUAUGAAGACCAGGCCU